AGGCCUAACACAUGCAAGUCGAACGGUAGCACAGAGAGCUUGCUCUCGGGUGACGAGUGGCGGACGGGUGAGUAAUGUCUGGGAAACUGCCUGAUGGAGGGGGAUAACUACUGGAAACGGUGGCUAAUACCGCAUAACGUCGCAAGACCAAAGAGGGGGACCUUCGGGCCUCUUGCCAUCAGAUGUGCCCAGAUGGGAUUAGCUUGUUGGUGAGGUAACGGCUCACCAAGGCGACGAUCCCUAGCUGGUCUGAGAGGAUGACCAGCCACACUGGAACUGAGACACGGUCCAGACUCCUACGGGAGGCAGCAGUGGGGAAUAUUGCACAAUGGGCGCAAGCCUGAUGCAGCCAUGCCGCGUGUAUGAAGAAGGCCUUCGGGUUGUAAAGUACUUUCAGCGGGGAGGAAGGUGUUGUGGUUAAUAACCGCAGCAAUUGACGUUACCCGCAGAAGAAGCACCGGCUAACUCCGUGCCAGCAGCCGCGGUAAUACGGAGGGUGCAAGCGUUAAUCGGAAUUACUGGGCGUAAAGCGCACGCAGGCGGUCUGUCAAGUCGGAUGUGAAAUCCCCGGGCUCAACCUGGGAACUGCAUUCGAAACUGGCAGGCUUGAGUCUUGUAGAGGGGGGUAGAAUUCCAGGUGUAGCGGUGAAAUGCGUAGAGAUCUGGAGGAAUACCGGUGGCGAAGGCGGCCCCCUGGACAAAGACUGACGCUCAGGUGCGAAAGCGUGGGGAGCAAACAGGAUUAGAUACCCUGGUAGUCCACGCCGUAAACGAUGUCUACUUGGAGGUUGUGCCCUUGAGGCGUGGCUUCCGGAGCUAACGCGUUAAGUAGACCGCCUGGGGAGUACGGCCGCAAGGUUAAAACUCAAAUGAAUUGACGGGGGCCCGCACAAGCGGUGGAGCAUGUGGUUUAAUUCGAUGCAACGCGAAGAACCUUACCUGGUCUUGACAUCCACAGAACUUUCCAGAGAUGGACUGGUGCCUUCGGGAACUGUGAGACAGGUGCUGCAUGGCUGUCGUCAGCUCGUGUUGUGAAAUGUUGGGUUAAGUCCCGCAACGAGCGCAACCCUUAUCCUUUGUUGCCAGCG
rnacentral:rRNA from 2 species